rnacentral:rRNA from 1 species
AUUGAACGCUGGCGGCAUGCCUUACACAUGCAAGUCGAACGGUAACAGGUCUUCGGAUGCUGACGAGUGGCGAACGGGUGAGUAAUACAUCGGAACGUGCCCGAGAGUGGGGGAUAACGAGGCGAAAGCUUUGCUAAUACCGCAUACGAUCUCAGGAUGAAAGCAGGGGACCGCAAGGCCUUGCGCUCACGGAGCGGCCGAUGGCAGAUUAGGUGGUAGGUGGGAUAAAAGCUUACCAAGCCGACGAUCUGUAGCUGGUCUGGGAGGACGACCAGCCACAGUGGGGCGGAGACACGGCCCAGACUCCUACGGGAGGCAGCAGUGGGGAAUUUUGGACAAUGGGCGCAAGCCUGAUCCAGCCAUGCCGCGUGCAGGAGGAAGGCCUUCGGGUUGUAAACUGCUUUUGUACGGAACGAAAAGACUCUGGUUAAUACCUGGGGUCCAGGACGGUACCGUAAGAAUAAGCACCGGCUAACUACGUGCCAGCCGCCGCAGUAA